rnacentral:RNase_P_RNA from 1 species
AUAUUUAGACAAACGCUGCAUUGGUAAAAUCAAUGUAGAGGAAAGUCCAUGCUCGCACGGUGCUGAGAUGCCCGUAGUGUUCGUGCAUAGGGAAACCAUAACCUAUGGUAGGGAUUUUUCUUCCCUAACGGCGACGAGGUAACCUAAGUUGUAAAAUAUGGUUAUAGUAGUCAUAAAGUGCCACAGAGACGAUGCCUUCUAGAAAUGGAAGGAGUGAAACGUGGUAAACCCCACGAGCGAGAAACCCAAAUUAUGGUAGGGGAGCCCACCUAAAAGGAAAUGAACUUUUAGUGGGAUUGGUUUAUCCAUUAGGGGUAAACCAAUAGAUAGAUGUUUGUCGCCUACUGUUGUAGGUACAGAACAUGGCUUAUUAAU